AGUGAACGCUGGCGGUAGGCCUAACACAUGCAAGUCGAACGGCAGCACAGUAAGAGCUUGCUCUUACGGGUGGCGAGUGGCGGACGGGUGAGGAAUACAUCGGAAUCUACUUUUUCGUGGGGGAUAACGUAGGGAAACUUACGCUAAUACCGCAUACGACCUACGGGUGAAAGCAGGGGAUCUUCGGACCUUGCGCGAUUGAAUGAGCCGAUGUCGGAUUAGCUAGUUGGCGGGGUAAAGGCCCACCAAGGCGACGAUCCGUAGCUGGUCUGAGAGGAUGAUCAGCCACACUGGAACUGAGACACGGUCCAGACUCCUACGGGAGGCAGCAGUGGGGAAUAUUGGACAAUGGGCGCAAGCCUGAUCCAGCCAUACCGCGUGGGUGAAAGAGGCCUUCGGGUUGUAAAGCCCUUUUGUUGGGAAAGAAAAGCAGCAAGUUAAUACCCCGCUGUUCUGACGGUACCCAAAGGAUAAGCACCGGCUAACUUCGUG
rnacentral:rRNA from 1 species